rnacentral:miRNA from 1 species
GACUUAUAAUGAUCUCAUGAA